rnacentral:lncRNA from 1 species
GCCCCCGGGCACGGAGUGCUCCGUGCGGGAGCGAGUGCCAUCUUGUCACCGCUGACACAGCCACGGAAUGGCCGAGGUUGGAAGGGACAUCACCUAGUCCGACCCCCUGCCGAGCAGGGCCACCUAGAGCACGUUAAAAAAAAAAAAAAAAUCUCAAAACAUCUUAAAACUGAGGCGAAUUCGAUAAGAGCUUAUGUGGGUGACAUGGAGUUUGUAUCUAUCCCUUGUCUCUAAGUAGAAGUUAAACCUAAAACAGGAAAAUAGGCAGCUCAGCUGGGAGAGAAUACCUUAGAGGAAUGGUGAAUGGACAGGAGGAUGGGGACACAGAGUUCUAGUCGUGUAAGCUUGGGUCCUCAGGGGCAGAUUUGGCCUUUGUGGUGAGGAAUAGGAAGCCACGGAACUUUCAUUUUGAAUAAGUCUGCUAAGCAGAACCCUCACAGGGAAUUUGGCAGAUAUUAAAAGAACGGCCAUCCCUUCCUGCACAACCUGUGUAAAUCAGAUUUGUUUUCCACUCCCUGAAAUACCAAAGUAGACCAAAUCCCGAUCUUAAUGUUUCAAAUCACUCUCUAGAUUUAUGAAGAUACAGAUAAAUUUAGGGAUGCAAAUAAAGCUUCACUUAAUUUCUCUGUUCA